rnacentral:rRNA from 1 species
AGAGUUUGAUCCUGGCUCAGAUUGAACGCUGGCGGCAGGCCUAACACAUGCAAGUCGAACGGUAACAUUUCUAGCUUGCUAGAAGAUGACGAGUGGCGGACGGGUGAGUAAUGCUUGGGAACUUGCCUUUGCGAGGGGAAUAACAGUUGGAAACGACUGCUAAUACCGCAUAAUGUCUUCGGACCAAACGGGGCUUCGGCUCCGGCGCAAAGAGAGGCCCAAGUGAGAUUAGCUAGUUGGUAAGGUAAAGGCUUACCAAGGCGACGAUCUCUAGCUGUUCUGAGAGGAAGAUCAGCCACACUGGGACUGAGACACGGCCCAGACUCCUACGGGAGGCAGCAGUGGGGAAUAUUGCACAAUGGGGGAAACCCUGAUGCAGCCAUGCCGCGUGUGUGAAGAAGGCCUUCGGGUUGUAAAGCACUUUCAGUUGUGAGGAAAGGUUGGUAGUUAAUACCUGUCAGCUGUGACGUUAACAACAGAAGAAGCACCGGCUAACUCCGUGCCAGCAGCCGCGGUAAUACGGAGGGUGCGAGCGUUAAUCGGAAUUACUGGGCGUAAAGCGCACGCAGGCGGUUUGUUAAGCUAGAUGUGAAAGCCCCGGGCUCAACCUGGGAUGGUCAUUUAGAACUGGCAGACUAGAGUCUUGGAGAGGGGAGUGGAAAUUCCAGGUGUAGCGGUGAAAUGCGUAGAUAUCUGGGAGGAACAUCAGUGGCGAAAGGCGACUCCCUGGCCAAAGACUGACGCUCAUGUGCGAAAGUGUGGUAGCGAAACAGGAUUAGAUACCCUGGUAGUCCCACACCGUAAACGCUGUCUACUAGCUGUUGUUGUUGUCUUUUAAGACGUGCGUAGCGAAGCUAACGCGCUAAGUAGACCGCCUGGGGGAGUACGGCCGCAGGUAAACUCAAAUUGAUGGACGGGGCCCGCACAGCGUGAAGCAUGUGGAUUCAAUUCGAUGGCAAUCGCCGA